GAUGAACGCGGCGGCGUGCCUAAUACAUGCAAGUAGAACGCUGAAGCUUGGUGCUUGCACCGAGCGGAUGAGUUGCGAACGGGUGAGUAACGCGUAGGUAACCUGCCUCUUAGCGGGGGAUAACUAUUGGAAACGAUAGCUAAUACCGCAUAAAAGUCGACAUCGCAUGAUGUUGACUUGAAAGGUGCAAUUGCAUCACUAAGAGAUGGACCUGCGUUGUAUUAGCUAGUUGGUGAGGUAACGGCUCACCAAGGCGACGAUACAUAGCCGACCUGAGAGGGUGAUCGGCCACACUGGGACUGAGACACGGCCCAGACUCCUACGGGAGGCAGCAGUAGGGAAUCUUCGGCAAUGGGGGCAACCCUGACCGAGCAACGCCGCGUGAGUGAAGAAGGUUUUCGGAUCGUAAAGCUCAGUUGUAAGAGAAGAACGAGUGUGAGAGUGGAAAGUUCACACU
rnacentral:rRNA from 1 species